rnacentral:lncRNA from 1 species
AUGAAUCAUACCUCAUUCCUGCAUGAUAUCACCGCACUUGCAGCGUCCGCAGGGCACAGCUUGAGUUUUGGGGAUGCUCCUUUGCUUUUGUGUGGCAUUUACAACUCCACCGCRCCAGCAUCGUCUUCCUGCAGAUCAGCGUGACAGCGUGGAGUCCCCGGCGUGGGUGCUGGCCCUCAGCUGCCUGCUGCCUUUGGGCAGUGAAGGUUGCCAGCUCCUCGAGGCUCUGCAGGGUUACUACAAGGAGAGCUGCACGGGAGAAGCAGUAGGGCGCACGGUUACUUCUGCUUUUGAUGCUCCUCAAUGCUGGGCGACAGAACCAGAUUUGCAGUAA